rnacentral:rRNA from 1 species
UACAGAGGUCCCAAGCGUUGUUCGGAUUCACUGGGCGUAAAGGGUGCGUAGGUGGUGGGGUAAGUUGGAUGUGAAAGCUCCGAGCUUAACUCGGAAAUGGCAUUCAAAACUACCUUGCUAGAGGGUUGGAAGGGGGACUGGAAUUCUCGGUGUAGCAGUGAAAUGCGUAGAUAUCAGGAGGAACACCGAUGGCGAAGGCAGGUCUCUGGGCCGAUACUGACGCUGAGACGCGAAAGCGUGGGGAGCGAACAGG